rnacentral:lncRNA from 1 species
GUCCAUUAGAUAGCUCAAAAUCUGAAAAGCAGUUCCCCAUCUCUCCCAUUCACCUCUCAACAGCAGAGUGCUGGGCUGAGCUGAUGACAGUCCUGGUAGGCAGCGGGUUUUUCUGGUUGAUGGAGACCUGACAUUUGUCUGGGCAGCAGAAGGCCACUGACUGCCAGGGGGAGAUUAUGUAGCCUGUCAUUAAUCCAGGGCUGUGCUCACGCUUCCAUCUGUGCAGGAAUGUUUCUGGAGCAGCGCUCGUGGAGCCUUCCCGGAGCGCGCGGGCACCGUCUGCCUCCCGUGCUGGAGGGGCAGAAAUUUCAAGGACAGGCCUCGGAGCAGUGGAGUGGCAGGAAGGAGGUGGCACAAGGAGAUGGAAUUACCAGGGGAGUUCCCCAAAAACUCAUUCCCAAAUCAGUUUGUGUGACAUGUGAAGCAUUUGCAACAGAGAAGAACAUCAACUCUGGGCUUAGCAAAAAUUACCUGCAGCUCUUGGAUCAGUGCCUACAUUUCAGAGUGAUCCCAUUUCUUGGCUGGGAAGAGGACCUGAAGAACACUUUGCCUUGAAAAGCACCACAGAAUCCCACAGCCACAGCAGGAGCUGUUUCAGCUGAAACUAUGGAAAAUCAUUCUUUCUCCUCCUCUUUUUCCUCCUCCUUCUUUUCUCUCCCAUAGAGAUGGGCUGACAGAGCUGUUCAGCCUGGAGAAGAUAAGACUCUGGGGAGACCUGAGAGACUCUUCCAGUGCCUAAAGGGGCUCCAAGAGAGCUGGAGAAGGACUUGGGACAAGGGCCUGCAGGGAUAGGACAAGGGGGAAUGGCUUCCCACUGCCAGAGGGCAGGGUUGGAUAGGAUACUGGAAAGGAAUUUUUCCCUGUGAGGCUCCUGAGGUCUUGGCAGAGGUGCUCAGAGAAGCUGUGACUGCCCCUGGAUCCCUGGAAGUGUCCAAGGCCAGGUUGGCUGGGGCUUGGAGCAGCCUGGGAAGGGGAAGGUGUCCCUGCCCAUGGCAGAGAGUUGGAAUGAGAUGAACUUUAGGGUCCUUCCAACCCAAACAAUUUCAUGAUUCUCUGAACUGACACAUGCCCAUGGCUCCCUGGCUGAAGAGGAACAGAGGCAGAAAAGCAGGCCCACAUUUUCGAGGCUACUCCACUAAAUUAAAGGAAACCACAAACUGAACCUUGAGCCUCAGAAAAUCCAGCUGCAGUGCUCGGCUUUGCCUCUGGCUCAGCAGUAAGGCAG